AGAGUUUGAUCCUGGCUCAGGAUUAACGCUAGCGGUCGGCCUAACACAUGCAAGUCGAGCGGCAGCAUUUGGAUUUAUUCAAGAUGGCGAGCGGCGCACGGGUGCGUAACGCGUAAGAAACCUACCCUUUGCAGAGGGAUAGCCUGGCGAAAGCCGGAUUAAUACCACAUAUUAAAUUUGAAGGCAUCUUUAAAUUUAGAAAGCUCAGGCGGCAAAGGAUGGUCUUGCGUCCUAUUAGCUAGUUGGUAAGGUAACGGCUUACCAAGGCGACGAUAGGUAGGGGGUCUGAAAGGAUGAACCUCCACACUGGUACUGAGACACGGACCAGACUCCUACGGGAGGCAGCAGUGAGGAAUAUUGCGCAAUGGACGAAAGUCUGACGCAGCCAGACCGCGUGCAGGACGACAGCCUUAUGGUUGUAAACUGCUUUUAUUCGGGAGGAAAGUUACUGACUCGUCAGUAUUUGACAGUACCGAAAGAAUCAGCACCGGCUAACUCCGUGCCAGCAGCCGCGGUAAUACGGAGGGUGCAGGCGUUAUCCGGAUUUACUAGGUUUAAAGGGUCUGUAGGCUGUAUUUCAAGUCAGUGGUGAAAAGUAAGAGCUUAACUUUUAUCUUGCCAUUGAUACUGUUAUACUAGAGUAUGUGUGCUGUUGGCGGAAUGUAUCAAGUAGCGGUGAAAUGCAUAGAUAUGAUACAGAACACCGAUUGCGAAAGCAGCUGACAAAUGCAUCACUGACGCUGAUAGACGAAAGCGUGGGUAGCGAACAGGAUUAGAUACCCUGGUAGUCCACGCCGUAAACGAUGAUUACUCGUUGCUGGUUAUUAUUAUCAGUGACUGAGCGAAAGCAUUAAGUAAUCCACCUGGGGAGUACGUUGGCAACAAUGAAACUCAAAGGAAUUGACGGGGGCCCGCACAAGCGGAGGAAC
rnacentral:rRNA from 1 species